rnacentral:rRNA from 1 species
CUACGGGGGGCAGCAGCAGGGAAUAUUGCACAAUGGACGGAAGUCUGAUGCAGCGACGCCGCGUGGAUGAUGAAGGCCCUCGGGUUGUAAAAUCCUUUUCAGGGGGACGAGGAAGGACGGUACCCUUGGAAUAAGCGUCGGCUAACUACGUGCCAGCAGCCGCGGUAAGACGUAGGACGCAAGCGUUAUCCGGAUUUACUGGGCGUAAAGCGUCUGUAGGCGGAAUGGUAAGUUGGACGUGAAAGCUCCGGGCUCAACUCGGAGAGGUCGUUCAAUACUGCCAAACUAGAGGGCAUCAGAGGAGCGUGGAAUUUCCGGUGUAGCGGUAAAAUGCGCAGAUAUCGGAAGGAACACCAAUGGCGUAGGCAGCGCUCUGGGAUGAACCUGACGCUAAGAGACGAAAGCUAGGGGAGUGAACAGGAUUAGAUACCCGAGUAGUC